rnacentral:rRNA from 1 species
GACGAACGCUGGCGGCGUGCUUAACACAUGCAAGUCGAACGGAAAGGCCCUGCUUUUGUGGGGUGCUCGAGUGGCGAACGGGUGAGUAACACGUGAGUAACCUGCCCUUGACUUUGGGAUAACUUCAGGAAACUGGGGCUAAUACCGGAUAGGAGCUCCUGCUGCAUGGUGGGGGUUGGAAAGUUUGGGCGGUUGGGGAUGGAUUGGCGGGUCAUCAGGUUGUUGGUGGGGUUGUGGGUUAGCAGGGCUUUGACGGGUAGCCGGCUGAGGGGGGUGGCGGGCCAGAUGGGACUUGGGUGAGGGCCAGCAGUCGGCCGGAGGCAGCAGUGGGGAAUAGUGCGCAAUGGGCGGAAGCCUGAUGCAGCAGCGCCGCGUGCGGUAUGACGGCCUUCGGGUUGUAAACCGCUUUCGCCUGUGACGAAGCGGGAGUGACGGUAAUGGGUAAAGAAGCACCGGCUAACUACGUG